UGGAGAAAGUGUCCUUUCUGCAUCUCUUGAAACAUCACAGAGUGUAGAAAUGGCUGGAGCAGCUAGCAUAUUCAAAUGGAAUAAAUGAAUGAAUGAAUGAAUCAAGAUUCAUAAUAACUGCAUCCUUUAGAGGCUAACAAUUUUUUUAAUCACAAGGACUAUUUUACUAAUUUUUACUUACAUGGAUGCUAUUUUGGUAACCUAUACUAUAAUACAAAUCACCCCAAAACUUCGCUGGUCCUUCUCCUGGGUUCUUAUGUUAAUCAGUAGCUUUCCCAUUGGCUAGAAAUCUCAAAAUUGUUUC
rnacentral:lncRNA from 1 species